rnacentral:lncRNA from 1 species
UCCUUAAUUUAUUUUACCCUCUUGGAAUCCUAUAAUUUAUAUAACCCAUAUUUGAUAUAUAAAUUAUAUAAAAUAUAACAUAACAUACUCAAAUUAUAAUAUAAUUUCUCAAUUACAUUAUGACUUUAACUGAUUAGGAUUAAUAUUUCCUAAUUAAUAUUGCUAGUUUAGCAAUUAAUUCCAUAACUGUACAUUAGGGUUCCUAACAGAACAAUUAGGGUUCAAAAAUUCUGAAAUUAGGGUUUGCUAAUUAAUUAAGCUUUACCCUAAUUAAUAUUAUAAUUAAUAGCACUUAAGCAUUAUACUUAUCCGAUAAUUUCUCGGAUUAGGGUUUUCAAAUACCGAAUUAGGGUUUCGGAUUCCCGGAACUGAAAUUAGGGUUUCCAGAACCGAUUUCUAGGGUUUCUUAUAAAACGUAAUAAUUUUAUAACUGAACGUGGACGUUCUUAAUAUAUACUAUUAGGGUUUGACACCGAUAUAAUUUAUCUGGUCAACACUUGACCCUUAACCACAUUCUGUACACAUGAUACCGUAAUCUUGAACAUAUACACAUAUACCCUUAAUCCUGAAUAAUUCACUAAAAGAAAUUUUAAAUGCUCAAAAUUCCUUUCUGAAAACAUCAAACACAUUCACUUAUUUUCUGUCUAGGUCUAUUAUUUGACCUUAAACCAAUCAUUUAAGAUUUUAAUAAUUUUCUAAUUUCUCGGGUUGUCACA